rnacentral:rRNA from 1 species
AAACCAACAGGGAUUACCUCAGUAACGGCGAGUGAAGCGGUAACAGCUCAAAUUUGAAAUCUGGCUCUUUCAGGGUCCGAGUUGUAAUUUGUAGAAGAUGCUUCGGUGUGGUCCCGGUCUAAGUUCCUUGGAACAGGACGUCAUAGAGGGUGAGAAUCCCGUAUGUGACUGGGUGCCUUCGCUCAUGUGAAGCUCUUUCGACGAGUCGAGUUGUUUGGGAAUGCAGCUCUAAAUGGGUGGUAUAUUUCAUCUAAAGCUAAAUAUUGGCCAGAGACCGAUAGCGCACAAGUAGAGUGAUCGAAAGAUGAAAAGCACUUUGGAAAGAGAGUUAAACAGUACGUGAAAUUGUUGAAAGGGAAGCGCUUGCAACCAGACUUGCCCGCCGUCGAUCAUCCGGGGUUCUCCCCGGUGCACUCGGCGGCGUUCAGGGCCAGCAUCGGUUUCGGGGGUGGGAUAAAGACCUUGGGAAUGUANCUUCUUUCGGGGAGUGUUAUAGCCCUCGGUGCAAUGCCGCCUCUCGGGACCGAGGACCGCGCUUCGGCUAGGAUGCUGGCGUAAUGGUUGUAAGCGAC